GUUAUUGAUGUUGUUUUGGCAGAGGAGCGGUAGGAGGGAGACGGAACCGACACAGAUCUGGUAAGAAUCUCUGGCUACGGCACACGGCGACGGCGGUGACGGUGGUUCCGUCCGACGGUGGGGUAGCGACGUGACGAAGUUCCGUGGACGGCAGUCAUGGUGGUGCACGGUUCGGGUUGGCCCGAGACCUGUUGUGGUUCAGUUUCGAGUCGGUUUUCGGUUCCGGUUCAACCGAGUCAACACAGCGAGUUGACUGGUUAAUGCUGGUCAACUCGGGUUUGGUGAUCGGGUCAAGGUUCGGUCAACAAGUCAGCAAGUUAUUCUUCACAGAUUCAUGUUAUGGGUUAUCAGGUCAAGACGCGGGUACUAGUCAGCGGGUCAAACCUGGUCGACUCGGGUCAAACCGAGUCGACUCAGUCAACGCACAGUCAACCGUUGAGUCAACUGGUCAAAGCCAGCCAACUCGGUCAACUCAGUUCGUUUUGGUCAAUGCCCGGUCAACUCAGGACCCGGUAAAGUUUUAACGAUGCGUUAAACUUUAUUCAUAGAUUCGUAGAUUUUUAGUUACGUGACCGAGCUCGACCAUAUUCGAUUAAGUAUUAGUUUACAUAUUAAUAUACUUGACGAAACGCU